rnacentral:rRNA from 1 species
GUGAACUGUGGUCAGGUGGCAGGGGUAUUAGAGUGAGUGCGGGCGUUAAUCGGAUUUACUGUGCGUAAAGCUGGCUGAGGUGGCUAAUUAAGUCAAAGUGGAAAUCCCCGAGGUUAUCAGUGGAAUGUCAUUCGAUACUGGUUGGCGAGGGUAUGGGAGAGGAUGGUAGAAUUCCAGGUGUAGCGGUGAAAUGCGUAGAGAUCUGGAGGAAUACCGAUGGCUAAGGCAGCCAGCUGGCCUAAUACUGACACUGAGGUGCGAAAGCAUGGGGAGCAAACAGGAUUAGAUACCCCAGUAGUC